ACUAGAGAGGCUUUUGCUUCUUAUCUUCUUCAGCACUACUAAGCACGGGGGAGGACCUCGGACGCGUGAGAAGUCCUGGCUCCUCCAGUCCCUUCCAGGCAGGAGCUGAACCCUGAGGGUGUUGACCUAAGGAUCACCUAGGAGAAGCAGGUCUGCAGCAGACUCAAAGCCAGUGAAGGCUCUCACUUCAGUUUCUACAGGACAAGCCAGGCUGCUAAUAAGAGACUGCUAGUAAGAGGGAAAAGAAAACAACCACACAACAAAAAACAAAAAAACAGAAGACACUAAAUCAUUUUCCUUCCUUCUCAAGAUCUUUCUUAUCUAUGAAAAUCAACAGGCUUCGCAAUACUAGUGAUGAUUUAUCAAGCCACACCUCCACAGUGCCUUCUGUGUGGUUUAUGACAGGUAUGAACAAGUUAUCCAACCAGGUCUCCAUGGCAGUGGGCGUCUGACCGCGAGGCAGAAUGACUGUCUCUGAAGGCAUAUACAGGGCACGCACUACCCACAGUGUGACAAAUGGAGUGACACAUGCUCAGCAUCUUUGGGUACCAGGCCAGAAACUGCCCCGAAGUCAGACAGGAGAAAGUGGGCAGAAGCAUGCAGAUACUCUGUU